rnacentral:rRNA from 1 species
UAACACCUGGAAACAGAUGCUAAUACCGGAUAACAACAGAUGAUGCCUAUCAACUGUUUAAAAGAUGGUUCUGCUAUCACUCUUGGAUGGACCUGCGGUGCAUUAGCUAGUUGGUAGGGUAACGGCCUACCAAGGCGAUGAUGCAUAGCCGAGUUGAGAGACUGAUCGGCCACAUUGGGACUGAGACACGGCCCAAACUCCUACGGGAGGCAGCAGGG